GCCCGCCUGGCGGCGCUGGUGUCGGCCGAGGCCGGACGGACGGCCGCCGGCUUCGCCGAGACGCUCAGUCGGCAGACGGACGAGCGCGCCGCCGCCGCCACCACCGACAUCUACCUCGAGGCGAGCUAUCUGCAGAAGUUCUGCUCGGACGCGCUCCGGCUGAUGACGCCAGUUCUGCAGAUGGCUGUGCUGCAGGACAGCUGAGACAGCAGCAGGCCGCGCCGACCGGCAGCCGGCACGAGGGGCCUUACCGGAGUGCAAUCGCGAUCCCGCGAGUCGUCGGCGGUCAAUUGGUGACAGGCGCGAUGCCAUGUGGUGGGAGCCAGCGCCACCAACUGACAGCGGGUGGCUUUCUAGCUUGGUUUUGCUCUUACCACACUGCGGGAUACAUCCACGGGCUGCUUUUGGUUUUGCCAGAAUAUUUCUAAUGAUGGGUUGUGCAACUGUGAAUUCCAGCAUACACUAGAUGCGUCGGACGCUAAAACGGUUGCGUCAAAAGGUAUAGCCGCGCAGGAUAUGCGAUAAGCCGUACAGCGCAGAUUCCACGUGACGUCACAAAGAUUAUGUGCUGGUCGAAUUGUCUUGACGUGGCUGGAGGCCGGACGGCGAAGCUUAUGUGAUUUUGCGCUGAAUGCGUAUUGUCUUCUGCUUUCUUUGAAGAUCUAAAACGGCGUAAUUUUUGGCGUCCCUGCACACGUAAUUACGUCCGAUGCACCUAGCAUGCGUCUGCCCGAAGUGUUUGUUGGCUUUGUUGUACUGCGUUGAAUUGCGCAAGGUUGAUGCUCGGGAAAUCUUGGCUUAUUGAUAUGAUGCGAUAUUCAGAUUACCUGGAGCGUUCAUUACUGAGGAGAUGACGGUGGUGCAGCCUCUGCGUCGACUGUGUGUGUGAUAUGCAUGUUGUUUAAGCUGCGCCUUUGCUUGCUUUUUUAAAACGUUUUGGAAACAAAUAUAUAUCAUGAUAAUG